UCUUCCAACUUCCCGUUAACACGCCGCAUCAAAGAAGUUGUUAACGAGGUCUGUCAAAUCCUCCAUACCCAACAACAAUGGGAAGACGCUGUCGAAAUCCGUCUUUCACAGGAAGAAAUUGUCCCUCCUGACAUUGCACACCUUGUGUUUGACAAACUUAAGGAUGCUCAUGUGGGUCUCAAGUUCUUUGAUUGGGUAUCUCAAAGACCCG
rnacentral:misc_RNA from 1 species